UUGAAAGGGAAACGAUUGAAGUCAGUCGUACCGACGAGAAAUCAACUUAUCGUGUGCGAACUUGUGGGCGUGCGUGAGUUUCGGCCUCGCUGUUUGCAUGUUUGUGCGCUUUGGGUGUACUUUUUCGUAUGGUAGGCCAACGUCAGUUUCGAUUAUCAUAAAAUGACCGGCGGAAUGUAGCUUCGAUUUCGGUUGAAGUGUUAUAGCCUCUGGUAGAUGUGGUGAUUGGGACUGAGGAUUGCAACGAAUAUCCUUUGGGCUAUCCGUCUGGCCUCUGAAAGUUGCUCAGGUGCCGAAAGCGUGCUUACGGUCAUCUAAGAUAACGUUCAACAGGCUAGAACGUGAUUACAUUCGUUAAGGAUGUUGACGUA
rnacentral:rRNA from 1 species